AUGACUUUCCUCCAUCAUGGUUCUAUGAAAGCAGAGACUGAACCAAGGACUUUGUGGGAGAGGCAAACACACUGCCUGCCAUCUGAGCUAUCCCCCAGCAUCCAUUUCUUACCCUGGCCUACUUCAGGACAAGGAAGAAACGCUGGAAGUGAUGGCAGGACGGUAGAAAAGGCAAAGCUGGCAGCCCAAUGAAAAAUCCGACUACACACAACCGUUUUGCACCAUGAAGGACAAAGCACAAGGCUGUGUGAAGAUUCUUCUUUCCUGUCCCUCCUUCGUGCUGCCUCCACAGGCCAUGGCUUGCCCCGGAGAAAGCCCCUGAGAAGUAAAAGGCCACCAAGGCAGCUAGAAACUGAGUGCAAGCACGGAAAGACAAGCCCCAGCAGACCGUCGGGUGAGAUUUGAGGAAGUAAAUUGCAGAAACGAAGCUGUGAAGGUGGGGAAGCUGAGAGACUUCUGGUGUACACUAUGACCGCACUGAAGCUUCUGCAGGAGUCCAGCUACUACACAGAAAAAAAAAAAAAAAACCUGCGGCCACCCAACUUGGUUCUCAGAACACAAAGAAUAACAAUCUUGAUACUUUGAUACUUUGCCAUCCCAACUCCCUUCCAGUAAACUGCCACACACAGGGUGGAGUGAAGGCUGCAUGCUCCUUUGGCUUUGGCACUAGUAAAUUUGGAACUUCUUAUCAAAAGUUACACAGAGCCGGGCGGUGGUGGCACACGCCUUUAAUCCCAGCACUCGGGAGGCAGAGGCAGGCGGAUCUCUGGGAGUUCGAGGCCAGCCUGGUCUACAAGAGCUAGUGCCAGGACAGGAACCAAAGCUACAGAGAAACCCUGUCUUGAAAAUCCAAAACAAAACAAAACAAAACAAAAAAGUUACACAGACUUGUGUUACCUCCCACCUCAGCCCAGAGCCUACAGCAGAGCAGAAUCAUGGAACACUGAGGACCGAGCUGACGGCUCUCACCAUUCAGCUCUGCCCGCACUGGAAGGGUGCUCGCUGUUAGACCUGGCACAGUUUUAACUCUCUGGGAACCUUCAAAGAAAUGCACGGCGCUCGAUGUCAUGUGUGGGUCAUGGGAGACACCAAGGAUUCAGCUUUCUCCUAGAAGUGAUGUCCAGGGGUCUCUUCCCUGGUUCACAGACACACUUCCUGAACGAGGCACUGAGUGGAGUUAGAGGGAUGCCGGUGCAGCUGUCUUUAUGGCGAUUAGAGCCUGCCCCAAGGUGACGGAAAUGGAGGGACCCAGAACUGGUUGACCUGGGGUGGAAAGCUGCUGGGGUUCAGGCUUGUGGUCUGGAGCCCCAGAUGCAAUGUGGCCACCCAGCCCAGUGGAGUGACCCCUCACUGCGUGGUAGACACAGCUCUGUGACACCUCAAGACAUUCUGCUGUGUAUCACCAUGUCACACAGUGACAAUAUGUGUCCUCUGGGGGUGAAGGAAAGUGGCAGCACCUUACCCAGUCACGUGGCACUUUGCUGUGUAGUCCAGGCUGGCCUAGAACUCAAGGUGUAGCCUAGGCUGCUCUAGAACUCAAAGAGAUGGACUGCUUCUGCCUCUGGAAUGCUAGGGUUAAAGGUAGACACCCCCACUACCUGAAGGGGCAUUUGUUAAACCAAAUUUAACUCUUCCUUUACCUGAGUCAGGCUCACAAAUAUCCUGGAACGCAAGGGGAGUCUAAGGCUGUGUUAGAUCACACUGGUGCACUGGGGCCAGAAAGUCAACUAUCCUAAACACAGGCUGCAUUGUCAUCAGGCGGCUUCCUUCCUGUCCGCUACUUCUGGAACUCAAGUUCCGGAUAAGAGUUUAUGAGACCAGGCAUGGUGAGUUCAAGGCCAGCUUGGUCUAUAUAGCGAGUUCCUGGACAGCCAGGGCUACAUAGAGAGACUGUGUCUCAAAACUAGC